rnacentral:rRNA from 1 species
AACGAACGCUGGCGGCAGGCUUAACACAUGCAAGUCGAGCGCCCCGCAAGGGGAGCGGCAGACGGGUGAGUAACGCGUGGGAAUCUACCCAUCCCUACGGAAUAGCUCCGGGAAACUGGAAUUAAUACCGUAUACGCCCUACGGGGGAAAGAUUUAUCGGGGAUGGAUGAGCCCGCGUUGGAUUAGCUGGUUGGUGGGGUAAAGGCCUACCAAGGCGACGAUCCAUAGCUGGUCUGAGAGGAUGAUCAGCCACAUUGGGACUGAGACACGGCCCAAACUCCUACGGGAGGCAGCAGGGGGGAAUGUUGGACAAUGGGGGCAACCCUGAUCCAGCCAUGCCGCGUGAGUGAUGAAGGCCUUAGGGUUGUAAAGCUCUUUCACCGGGGAAGAUAAUGACGGUACCCGGAGAAGAAGCCCCGGCUAACUUCGUGCCAGCCGCCGCCGUAAAAC